rnacentral:lncRNA from 1 species
CUCCUGACAUCUAUCCUUCAGUCUCCUCUUCCCUUCUGACCUCUCCUUUCAUCUAUCCUUCCUCUCCCCCUCCCUUUUGUCCUCUCCUGUCAUCUAUCAUUCCAUCCCCCCCCCCUCUGUCCCUCUCUCAUAUCUAUCUUUACCUCUCCC